GGCUGCAACUCGCCUGCAUGAAGCUGGAAUUGCUAGUAAUCGCGGAUCAGCAAGCCGCGGUGAAUACGUUCCCGGGCCUUGUACACACCGCCCGUCACACCAUGAGAGUCGGGAACACCCGAAGUCCGUAGUCUAACCGCAAGGGGGGCGCGGCCGAAGGUGGGUCCGGUAAUUGGGGUGAAGUCGUAACAAGGUAUC
rnacentral:rRNA from 1 species